rnacentral:rRNA from 1 species
CCUACGGGAGGCUGCAGUAGGGAAUCUUUCACAAUGGGCGAAAGCCUGAUGGAGCAACGCCGCGUGCAGGAUGAAGGCCUUCGGGUUGUAAACUGCUUUUAUAAGCGAGAAAUAUGAUGGUAACUUAUGAAUAAGGAUCGGCUAACUACGUGCCAGCAGCCGCGGUCAUACGUAGGAGCCGAGCAUUAUCCGGAGUUACUGGGUGUAAAGAGUUGCGUAGGUGGCAUAAUAAGUAGCUAGGGAAAUCUGGUGGGUCAACCAUUCAGACUAUUAGCGAAACUGUUAAGCUUGAGACCGUGAGGGGUAACUGGAAUUUCUAGUGUAGGGGUGAAAUCCGUAGAUAUUAGAAGGAACACCAAUGGCGUAGGCAGGUUGCUGGGACGGUACUGACACUAAGGCGCGAAAGCGUAGGGAGCAAACGGGAUUAGAUACCCCGGUAGUC